GUUCCUUCGUAUAUAUAAAACUCACACACCGACUCAUCUUCACCGUGGCUCACCUAGGCGUGCUCUAACUUUUGAGUCCAGACCCAAACCAAAACCACCGUGUAACACAUGGAGGACACCUUCAUCAUGAUCAAGCCUGAUGGGGUCCAGAGAGGCCUUGUUGGGGAGAUCAUUGGCAGAUUUGAGAAGAAGGGUUUCUCCCUCAAGGGGUUGAAGCUAAUCACUGUGGAGCGUGCUUUGGCUGAGAAGCAUUAUGCAGACCUGUCUGCAAAGCCAUUCUUCAAUGGACUU
rnacentral:misc_RNA from 1 species